GAUCGCCGUGUAUACAUAUAAACCAUAUGGCCAUAUGACCAACAUUGUCUGAAUUCCAUGUUUGGUGAGGCCGAAGGAGAAAGUGAGGAAGGGUGCACCGUCACUGAUCAAACUCCUCCACCUUCCUUGUUCGUUUGGAAUGAUAAGGGUGAUAUAAUCUCUGGUAUGUGAAAGAAAUAGACAUGGGAGGUAUCAGCUGAGACUUUAUUCGGGGAUGGAUUAUUUAGGCGAUGGUUGUUAAAUGAAGAUCUGAGAGCCGGAGAGCCCUGCAAUCCUUGAUGACCAUGUUUUUAUCGAUACUAGUCAUAUGAGCCCCUGCGUCGAAACAGAAAUAAUGCAAAUUUUGCACAUAAUUAAGAGUAUUCCUUUAAUGUUCAACA